rnacentral:rRNA from 1 species
UACGGGGGGAGCAAGCGUUGUUCGGAUUUACUGGGCGUAAAGGGCGCGUAGGCGGCCACCGCAAGUCAGUUGUGAAAUCUCUGGGCUUAACCCAGAACGGUCAGCUGAUACUGCGGGGCUAGAGUGCAGAAGGGGCAACUGGAAUUCUCGGUGUAGCGGUGAAAUGCGUAGAUAUCGAGAGGAAACCCUGCGGCGAAGGCGGGUUGCUGGGCUGACACUGGCGCUGAAAGCGCGAAAGCUAGGGGAGCGAACGGG